CCAGACUCCUACGGGAGGCAGCAGUGGGGAAUAUUGCACAAUGGGGGGAACCCUGAUGCAGCGACGCCGCGUGAGUGAAGAAGUAUUUCGGUACGUAAAGCUCUAUCAGCAGGGAAGAAAAAAGGACGGUACCUGAGUAAGAAGCCCCGGCUAACUACGUGCCAGCAGCCGCGGUAAUACGGAAGGUCCGGGCGUUAUCCGGAUUUAUUGGGUUUAAAGGGAGCGUAGGCCGGUCUUUAAGCGUGCCGUGAAAUUUUGUGGCUCAACCAUGAGAGUGCGGCGCGAACUGGAGACCUUGAGUGCGCGGAAGGCAGGCGGAAUUCGUGGUGUAGCGGUGAAAUGCUUAGAUAUUGCGCAGAACUCCGAUUGCGAAGGCAGCAUACCGGCGGCGAUCUGACGCUGAGGCACGAAAGCGUGGGUAUCGAACAGGAUUAGAUACCCCAGUA
rnacentral:rRNA from 1 species